UACGGAGGGUGCAAGCGUUAUCCGGAUUUACUGGGUUUAAAGGGUGUGUAGGCGGACUUUUAAGUCAGGGGUGAAAUCCCGAGGCUCAACCUCGGAACUGCCUUUGAUACUAUUGGUCUUGAAUGUUGUUGAGGUGGGCGGAACGGGUCAUGUAGCGGUGAAAUGCAUAGAUAUGACCCGGAACACCGAUUGCGAAGGCAGCCCGCUAAGCAACUAUUGACGCUGAGGCACGAAAGCGUGGGGAUCAAACAGGG
rnacentral:rRNA from 1 species